GCUUUAGGCGACAUGGACAAAAAAAUACUCAGAUUUUAUCAGCUCUUUAAUAAGUUGCUCAUUGUGAUCCAACAUUUUUGUAACAUUCUUUUGACAGCAGUAUAUUGGGAAUUUCUCUCUUGGCUGCAUCUGUCUUUCGUAUCUCUCCAUUCAUGUACUCUUUACAAGAUAUCUCAGUGUUGCCUAUGGUCCCAUUAGCCUCUUAGUAUCUGUUCUUAUAAAAACUUCUCCAAGCCAUAGACCAGGUUCUUGAGGCGAACAACUUUUCUAAUGGCCAGAAUCAAGCCUGGCAUGAGACAUUGCACAUCUGUGAUAUCAUGCUUUAGUGUGUAAACCUCUCCUGGCCUCGAGAAGUAAACUGAUGUACUAGAUGGGAGCCCUGGUAGAACCAAGCUGUGAACACGCACUCCGUCUUCCCCAAGAACUUGACCCCUUGCCGGAAUAUCACUAGAAAUGUCAUCUCUAUUAUACAGCUGACCCAAAUUGGAAAGGUUGUUAGCAAUUUGAACUGCAUCCUGGCUUGGAAAAUCCAGUGGAUUAGCUCUAGACUCAACAAUUUCAACAUUGUUGUAGUGAAAAGAAGCUGAAAUUGCUGCUUGUUGAAGAAGUAUGGAUCCAAU
rnacentral:misc_RNA from 1 species